GCCGGGGUAGCUCAAUCGGUAGAGCGUGUGGCUCUUAUUUCACUAAUGAGAUCACCUCAAGGUCGCGGGUUCGAGCCCCGCCUUCGGCU
rfam:Xylona heveae TC161 unplaced genomic scaffold L228scaffold_1, whole genome shotgun sequence.